rnacentral:rRNA from 1 species
UGCGUAGGCGGUUAGGUAAGUCAGAUGUGAAAUCCCGGGGCUCAACCUCGGAACUGCAUCCGAUACUGCCUGACUAGAGGACUGGAGGGGAGUCUGGAAUUCUCGGUGUAGCAGUGAAAUGCGUAGAUAUCGAGAGGAACACUAGUGGCGAAGGCGAGACUCUGGACAGAUCCUGACGCUGAGACACGAAGGCUAGGGUAGCGAACAGGAUUAGAUACCCUGGUAGUCC